CCUACGGGUGGCAGCAGUGAGGAAUAUUGGUCAAUGGCCGAGAGGCUGAACCAGCCAAGUCGCGUGAGGGAAGACGGCCCUACGGGUUGUAAACCUCUUUUGUCGGGGAGCAAAGCGAGGCACGUGGGACUCAUUGAGAGUACCCGAAGAAAAAGCAUCGGCUAACUCCGUGCCAGCAGCCGCGGUAAUACGGAGGAUGCGAGCGUUAUCCGGAUUUAUUGGGGUUCCAGGGUGCGCAGGCGGAGGUGCAAGUCAGCGGUCAAAUUGCGGGGCUCAACCCCGUACUGCCGUUGAAACGGAAUCCCUUGAGUGCGCGAGACGUAUGCGGCUUGCGUGUUGUAGCGGU
rnacentral:rRNA from 1 species